rnacentral:rRNA from 1 species
UACGUAGGGGGCAAGCGUUGUCCGGAUUUAUUGGGCGUAAAGAGCGUGUAGGCGGCCAGAUAGGUCCGUUGUGAAAACUGGAGGCUUAACCUCCAGCGGUCGAUGGAAACCAUUUGGCUAGAGUCCGGAAGAGGAGAGUGGAAUUCCUGGUGUAGCGGUGAAAUGCGCAGAUAUCAGGAAGAACACCCGUGGCGAAGGCGGCUCUCUGGGACGGUACUGACGCUCAGGGGCGAAAGCGUGGGGAGCAAACCGG